AUGGCGGCGCCGUUUGUCUACCUCCGCCCCACCGUCGAGGACGACGGCACCGGUGAGAAGGCUCUCAUGAAGGCGGCCCACGACGGCAACCUCGGCCGCCUCAAACGUAUUGUAAAGAGACUUACCAAAAGAAAUGGCGACCUGUCGGCGCUUUUUUCUAUCAACACGAACGGAUGUAAUGUGUUGCAUCUCGCGGCAUGCGCAGGCCAUUUAGAGGUUUGCAGGUACCUAGUGGAGGAGCUUGGAGGAGAUGUAAAUGCUCCUGGGGUUGGGGAUACAGCUCUAGGUGCGACUCCAUUUAUGGUGUCUGCUCAGUCUGGUGAUGUUGCUACCGUCAAGUACUUUCUUGAUCAUGGUGGUGAUCUUGUGAAAGCAGAUGACAAAGGGCGCACAGUUCUCCACCAUGCUGCGGGUAUAGGAUGCUGCAAGGUUACAGAGUUCCUCCUGUCAAAAGGAGUGCCUGUUGACAUAGACUGUGGCCGUGGAACACCACUAUUUUGGGCUGCUAAUAAUGAGCAGGAUAAGACAGUGAAGAUUUUGCUGGAGCAUCACGCAAAUCCUAACAUCAUUAUCAAUGGUACUACCAGUCCCCUUAUGAGUGCUCUUGUUUACCGUUCAUUGAAGUGCAUGAAGCUACUCAUUAAGGCUGGUGCUGAUGUCAAUUGCAAUGGUUCCAUGUUGACUCCUUUGUUGCUUGCUACGAUGCAUGGAGGUUAUACCAACUUCAUUAAGCUCCUAUUAAAGGCUGGACCAGAUCCUAAUAUUCCUGAUGAUUUGGGUAGGUUCCCAGUAGAGCUUGCUGCGAUACGCGAUUGCAUGGAAGAGGUUGAAAUGUUAUUUCCUGUGACUUCUCCAAUUCCAAAUGUCCCAAACUGGAGUAUUGAAGGAUUAAUUUCUCAUGCGAAAAUUCUAGAAAAGAAGCCAAUUGAGCAACGGCACCUUCAAAGAAGAAAAGCUUUGAUCAAGUCAAAGGCUGAUACGGCAUUCAAGCAGAAGGAGUAUAAGAUAGCAACAAAGAUUUAUGAUUUGGCAAUAGCUCAUGGGGAGAGUGCAACACUGUAUGCAAACAGGAGUGUUUGUAAACUGCUCAUUGGUGAUGGUGAAGGUGCUUUGUCAGAUGCUCUCAUGUGCAUGCUGCGACCUGAUUGGGCAAAAGCUUGCUACCGUCAAGCUGCAGCUCACAUGCUACUCAAGGAGUAUGAACAAGCCCGUGAUGCUCUCCUGGACGCACACAAUUUAGAUCCUGGGAAUGCCGAAAUCGAGGGUGAACUACAGAAGGCUAGGGAGCUCAUGAAGAACCCUCCUGGCGAAUGUGAGCAGUGCACGGAUUCCGGGGAUGCAACAUGUGCCAGUUUUCACUAA
rnacentral:rRNA from 1 species